rnacentral:lncRNA from 7 species
AAUCUGGAUGACACAGAGUGAGUUAGUCUGCGGCUGUGAAGCCAGCUCCAGCUAUUGCUGAGACGUUAAGGAGGUGGUUCUUCACCAUGAUAUGCAUCAGUUUCUCUUUCUACAACAAGACUAGUUCCAGCCUUUUCUCUUGUGAGCAGAAACCCCUGCUGACCAGGUCUCUUUUUACAUCUCUGACACAGUUCAGUUGCAUUUAGUAAAUCAUUUUAGGAAAGGCUUCUCAGCUCAGACUCUCCUGGGGUUUGGGUCCCUUAAGGAUGAUUGAGGGGAUGGUGUGUAGCUCCUGAUGAAGGUUUAAUGCCCCAGGCUGUGUUGGGCUGAGAAAUAUAUUCUCACCAAAGCUGUAACCGAAGCUAGAAAAACUAACCUGCAUCUGUCUACAUUCCUGUGAGAGGAAGGAAGCCAUUCCUAAGCAGCCAAUAGAUCGAAAGUCCCAUGAUCACGCAAAUGAUCCUUAACUAGGGAACUGUAGGUCCUGCCACCCACGGACACAGUGCAGACUCAUUCUGCUCAUUAGAUCCAAACUGUUUGUGCUGCCUGUAUUAUAUAUCUUGUUUGUGGGGAGGAGCUGUUUCAACAGCCAACUGCACAAUGAGGUCUAGAAGCAUUCUGAGUGCUGAGAGUGAAAAAUCAUCUAAGAAGGCUAAGACAUGGCCAUCCAAACUGACUGCUGCUAUUUGGUUGCUCAGCUUUUUCACUGUGCUUCUGACCUGAAUGAAGGAGGGGAAGUCAAGAAAGAGCUAAUCCUGAUCAUGCAUCUGAUGCAUACCCACAUCUCUUCUUGCCUUUAAACCACAAGGGAGAAGACAGCAGAAAAGAUCUAAAAUAAGUUAUAUUAAUUUUCCUCUACACAUCUCUUGGAGAAUGCUCAGGAUCAUUUCAAAUUCAAAGCUAAAAAACAUUUAAAUCUUCCCUUUCUUCUAGACAAAUGGUACUUGCUGAUGAACAGAGCAAUGCUUUCAGACCGCGGUGGCAAGAACAUAUAUCCUGUGUUUUCUGGCUUCUCAUCAUGCCUGACUCUUCUGAUUUAAUCAGUGCUUCAGGAGGGAAGCAAGAUGUUCUCUGAGCACAAAUGGCUCUGGAAGGAAUAGUAUGGAAAUAGAGAAGAUGAGAAAGAAAUAAUGUUUCAGUUUAGUCUCUUUCUCACUCUUGAAAGAAAGAGAAGGAAAAAAAAUAGAAGAAAAGCCAGCAAAGAAGACAGUGCACAUGUCUGUCAGUUCAGACUUAAACUUCAGGAAGGAAUUUAGUAUUCUGCACAAUUGUUUGCU